GGGGAUGUAGGUCAGAUGGUAUAGCGCUCGCUUAUCAUGCGAGAAACAAUGGAAUCGAUACCCAGCAUCUCCA
rnacentral:tRNA from 1 species